rnacentral:rRNA from 1 species
CAGUAGCCGCGGUAAUACGUAGGGUGCAAGCGUUAAUCGGAACUACUGGGCGUAAAGCGUGCGCAGGCGGUUAUAUAAGUCAGAUGUGAAAUCCCCGGGCUCAACCUGGGAACUGCAUUUGAGACUGUAUGGCUAGAGUGUGUCAGAGGGGGGUAGAAUUCCACGUGUAGCAGUGAAAUGCGUAGAUAUGUGGAGGAAUACCGAUGGCGAAGGCGACUCUCUGGUCUGUAACUGACGCUGAGGAGCGAAAGCGUGGGGAGCGAACAGGAUUAGAUACCCCCGUAGUCCCUGUCUCUUAUAA